AGGGAGCUGUCCUAGGCCUCUAGACGAUGGGGGCAUUUAAGUAUAUCUAGAAUAGAUUUAAGCUUU
rnacentral:tRNA from 1 species